GACGAACGCUGGCGGCGUGCUUAACACAUGCAAGUCGAACGGCAAGGCCCUGCUAUUGUGGGGUGCUCGAGUGGCGAACGGGUGCGUAACACGUGAGUAACCUGCCCUUGACUUUGGGAUAACUUCAGGAAACUGGGGCUAAUACCGGAUAGGAGCCCCUGCUGCAUGGUGGGGGUUGGAUAGUUGCGGCGGUUGGGGAUGGACUCGCGGCUUAUCAGCUAGUUGGUGGGGUAGUGGCUUACCAAGGCUUUGACGGGUAGCCGGCCUGAGAGGGUGACCGGCCACAUUGGGACUGAGGUACGGCCCAGACUCCUACGGGAGGCAGCAGUGGGGAGUAUUGCACAGUGGGCGGAAGCCUGAUGCAGAAACGCCGCGUGCGGGAUGACGGCCUUCGGGUUGUAAACCGCUUUCGCCUGUGACGAAGCGUGAGUGACGGUAAUGGGUAAAGAAGCACCGGCUAACUACGUG
rnacentral:rRNA from 1 species